GACGAACGCUGGCGGCGUGCCUAAUACAUGCAAGUCGAGCGGACGGAUUAAGAGCUUGCUCUUAUGACGUUAGCGGCGGACGGGUGAGUAACACGUGGGCAACCUGCCCUGUAGAUCGGGAUAACACCGAGAAAUCGGUGCUAAUACCGGGUAAUAUCUGAGAUCACAUGAACCUAGGGUAAAAGAUGGCUCCGGCUAUCACUACAGGAGGGGCCCGCGGCGCAUGAGCGAGUUGGUAAGGUAAUGGCUUACCAAGGCGACGAUGCGUAGCCGACCUGAGAGGGUGAUCGGCCACACUGGGACUGAGACACGGCCCCGACUCCUCCGUGAGGCAGCAGUAGGGAAUCUUCCGCAAUGGACGAAAGUCUGACGGAGCAACGCCGCGUGAGUGAUGAAGGGUUUCGGCUCGUAAAGCUCUGUUGUUAGGGAAGAAACAGUACCGAACGAACUAGGUCGGUACCUUGACGGUACCUAACCAGAAAGCCACGGCUAACUACGUG
rnacentral:rRNA from 1 species